UGAUCAUGUGGUUUUUGUCUUUGAGUUUGU
rnacentral:piRNA from 1 species